CAGGAUCAAUGAUGUGACUAUUAACUGCGUUAUCUUUCUGCAACCUUUUGAAGGGUGCUGAAGAACACAUUACCUGCUGAGAUCCAUG